rnacentral:rRNA from 1 species
GGAAUCUUGCGCAAUGGGCGAAAGCCUGACGCAGCAACGCCGCGUGCGGGAUGAAGGCCUUCGGGCUGUAAACCGCUUUCAGCAGGAACGAAAAUGACGGUACCUGCAGAAGAAGGAGCGGCCAACUACGUGCCAGCAGCCGCGGUGACACGUAGGCUCCAAGCGUUGUCCGGAUUUAUUGGGCGUAAAGGGCUCGUAGGCGGUUGAGUAAGUCGGGUGUGAAAACUCUGGGCUUAACCCGGAGACGCCAUCCGAUACUGCUCUGACUUGAGUUCAGGAGGGGAGUGGGGAAUUCCUAGUGUAGCGGUGAAAUGCGCAGAUAUUAGGAGGAACACCGGUGGCGAAGGCGCCACUCUGGACUGAAACUGACGCUGAGGAGCGAAAGCAUGGGUAGCAAACAGGAUUAGAUACCCUGGUAGUCCAUGCCGUAAACGGUGGGCACUAGGUGUGGGUUCCAACUAACGGGAUCCGCGCCGUCGCUAACGCAUUAAGUGCCCCGCCUGGGGAGUACGGUCGCAAGACUAAAACUCAAAUGAAUUGACGG